UGUAUAUGGGGUAAUUUUAUAUUCAAAUC
rnacentral:piRNA from 1 species